AUGCUAUACAGUGGGAAAACCAGCCUGGCAACAUAGUGCGUAUUAAUAAAAGGACACCACAUCCUGCCAAAUUCCAGCUGCGCUAAUUGUAUUGUGUUCACAGAGCUCACAAGCUAUCAGAAAGUUGUAUGGCAACCACCUCCGGCGCCAAAUAGAACUGGCAGACAUAGACAUUCAGUACAAGAAGAAAAAGAUGGAAAAUCUUGCACUGGAGUCCGAAAUAAAAAAGAGGACAAUUAGGAAACUGGACCUUGAAAUAAAAAAAACUUGAGAGGGAGCUCCAAGAAGAUGACACAGCUCAAAAUAAAAAUUAGCAAUCAGUACAACCAAGUCAUCGUUAUAAGGCAUCGCCCUCUUUUGCCCACCCCCAGCACCAGGUGUGGCCACUAGCCUAUAUGAAGGCCCAAAAUUGUGUGUUCCUUUCUGCUCUGACAAUGGCAUGCCCAUUCGUGCGAGAUGUGGUGGAUGAAGAAGCACUUGUGCUGAGGAGAGCCUUCAGGCGAGAAAGGGUCUUCAGGGAC